rnacentral:lncRNA from 1 species
CUACACGUGGCCAUCUACUUGAAGAUCCAACGGCUAGCCUCCUCAUUUUGAAGAGUUUUGAAUCGAUAAUAUCUCUGCAAGUAGAAGCAAUCAUGUAUUAAUAAAUAAAAAAUAAAUCUAUCAUAAAUUUAAAAAUUAAACAUCUUUGACUUAUCAGGAAUAUCUCUCAAGCUGCAUCACGAGCCCCCGACGGUCAACUGGAGAACUUGUUCACCGACCCC